CAAGAUUAUCUUGGCAACAAUAGCCCUACCUCUAGUGCAAGCAUUUUCAUUCUCAUCACGCUCCAUCAGGCCAAGCAACUUCUCAAAAGCAAAGCCAGGCAAAGUCACAGUCACCACCAGGACAUUGGACACAACUUCUAGUUUGGCCCUUCCUCACCGAGAUGCUCUGGGUUGGAAAUGUGUCCCUCUCACCUGGACUUUCCACACCUUCCCUGGAAACAAGAUGAAGCACAAAACUCAGGUCAAAGCAGCCACUGUGCCAGAGAGAUUCAGGUGACUCUCGCCGGCAGAAAUAAAG
rnacentral:lncRNA from 1 species